rnacentral:rRNA from 1 species
GACGAACGCUGGCGGCGUGCCUAAUACAUGCAAGUCGAACGCAGUGGGGACGGGUGAGUAACAAGUGGGUAACCUCCCAUCAGAGGGGAUAACACUUGGAAACAGGUGCUAAACCGAUCUUGAUGGAUGGACCCGCGGUGCAUUAGCUAGUUGGUGAGGUAACGGCUCACCAAGGCCACGAUGAAUAGCGGACCUGAGAGGUGGAUCGGCCACACUGGGAGUGCGACACGGCCCAGACUCCGACGGGAGGCAGCAGUAGGGAAUCUUCGGCAAUGGACGAAAGUCUGACCGAGCAAUGCCGCGUGAGUGAAGAAGGUUUUCGGAUCGUAAAACUCUGUUGUUAGAGAAGCGGUAUCUAACCAGAAAGCCACGGCUAACUCCGUGCCAGCAGCCGCGGUAAUAC